rnacentral:rRNA from 1 species
GACGAACCGUCCUAACGUUGUUCGGAAUCACUGGGCUUAAAGGGCGCGUAGGCGGGCUGCCAAGUCCGGGGUGAAAUCUUUCGGCUCAACCGGAAAAUAGCCCUGGAUACUGGCAGUCUCGAGGGAGGUAGGGGUCGUUGGAACUUCCGGUGGAGCGGUGAAAUGCGUUGAUAUCGGAAGGAACGCCGGUGGCGAAAGCGAACGACUGGACCUUUUCUGACGCUGAGGCGCGAAAGCCAGGGGAGCAAACGGG